rnacentral:rRNA from 1 species
UGAAGGAACUCGGCAAAAUGGCUCCGUAACUUCGGGAGAAGGAGUAGCUUUAUUAGGGUAACCUAGUAAAGCUGUCACAAAAUCAAGGACAGCGACUGGUUAAUAAAACCACAGGUCUCUGCAAAGUUGUAAAAUGAUGUAUAGAGACUGACGUCUGCCCGGUGCUGCAAGUAUAAUAGAAAGAGUCUAGGCUUUGACUAGAAAUCCCAGUAAACGGCGGCUGUAACUCUGACGGUCCAAAGGUAGCGAAAUUCCUUGGCAUUUAAUUGGUGUCCUGCAUGAAUGACGUAACGACUGUCCUACUGUCUCCAACAUAACCCCAGUGAAAUUGAAUUCUCCGUGAAGAUGCGGAGUACCUGCGGCUAGACGGAAAGACCCCGUGCACCU